rnacentral:lncRNA from 1 species
CAGAUUUGUCCCUGGGUUCCUCCAGAGAGAGUUGCACAACAUGCUCUGGAAACCAUGAGCGAAGAGUAUUCUUGUUGGAGUGAAUUGCAUCUGCUAGAUUUAAUUUAUUAAAAUCAGAAACAUAUUCAACCAUUUCCAACUAUAUGCUGCUUACAAAAUCUCAGUACAGCAUCUCCAGAAAGUCAUGAGCCAACUGCUGUGCAUGACCCGCUUUGGGAUUCAGGCUGCAACAGGAAACUCAGCUUGGAACAAGAAUUCUCUUUUAAAUGAACUUUUGAAACUGGAUCUACAUUGUGAAAUAUUUGGAUAUUGAGCAAUGGAAGAAUUUGGAACAUAAACACAAGCGACUGCUGCUUAUGAGCACAGCAAGCUGCAGCAAGCCGGCUGGGUGCUGCUGUCAGCCAUCCCCAUGGCACAGGGCACAUAGGAGACUGGUGGGAAAGAAAGGCUCAUUGAGAGCACUUCUUAAGCAAGGGUAUUUUUACUCAGAGCAUGAUGAGGCACUGGCACAGGUUGCACAGAGAAGCUGUGGGUGUUCCAUCCCUGGAGACACUCAAGGCCAGGUUGGAUGGGGCCCAUGGGCAGCCUGUUGGGUGGCACUGCCCAUGGCAAGGGGUUGGAACUGGUGGGCUUUAAGAUCCCUUCCAACCUAAUCCAUUCUGUGAUUCUAUGAUUAAAUUUCACCCUCAGCAAGUUUGUGGAUGACACCACGCUGAGUGGUGUGGCCAACACACCUGAGGGAUAGGAUGCCUGUAUGGGAACUGCUGAGUCACAACCUGCACUACUGACUGAGCACCUGGAGAAAAGACCCAGUCAGCCCUGGAAGCACAGGUGAAGGUAAUUCACCUGUGUGACCAAAAAAAGUGGACCCUGGCUUUACCCUUCUUAGACCUCAUUUUAAAGGCUGACUGCCACUGAAGAAGGAUCUCUUGUUGGAGAUCUCUCCUUUGUGGAGUCUUCCUGCAAUCCUUGAUCUUUGGAUACAGCUAGAACAAGUUGGCACCAAUAUUUUGGCUAUUGCUGAGCAGUUCUGCCG